AAUUAUUUGGUAAUAAAUACAGAAUCUGCUUAAAGGACAGGACAGCAAGUUUUCAGAAGCUUGGAGCCAACUAUGAAAUAUUUAGGAGUCUUUCUCCUUCUCCUUGUUGUAGUAGCAGGAGUAAUCUGUGAACAACAUGGAAUUGAAGAUGAAGUCUUAAAUUGUCGAUGGAGGGGAGGUACCUGUCGCCAGUGGUGCUACUUAUUUGAGAAGACAAUAAAUAUUCCUGGAUGCCCUUUUCUUUUUAGGUGCUGUGUACGUCGGUGAUAUCAGUACUCAGAGUGAAACUGUGCUGAUUGAAUAAAAUUGACCAAAAAAUGUCAGCUGCAGAACACUUUCUUUCGCUUCAAAUUUUUUUUUUCAGUGCAGAGGUGCAGAGUAUAAACCUGAGUGCCUAUUAAUGUGUAUUUCCAUGCUUUAAAAAUGUAAACAAAAUCCCUGUUUUACACAUCAGAUUAUUAUUUUCUUAUAUCAAAAUGCAAUUUCUACUUUACUGGUUUUUUGCAACUUUUUCUAAUUAAAAGGCAAGCAUCA